GGCUUGGCGACUUCGGCCCGCCUGGCCGGGACCUGUCGUCACCCCCGGGGCGGCUGAGCGCGACCUCCCUCUGGUGUCUCCAGCGCUGGACAGGCUUUCCUUCUUACCUCUGCUGUUGGAACACUUGUGCGGUGGCUUCAGGGGAAGAACUCCUCCCUCACCUCCCACCCCCCACCCCCGGCCACUGAGUCCAGGACUCCUGGCUUUUCUGCAUCCGUUACCUGCCACUGUGCUUUCAGAGGAAAACAGACGUUAACUUAUACAACAGAAUGAAACCA